rnacentral:rRNA from 1 species
GACGAACGCUGGCGGCGUGCUUAACACGUGCAAGUCGAACGGAAAGGCCCUGCUUUUGUGGGGUGCUCGAGUGGCGAACGGGUGAGUAACACGUGAGUAACCUGCCCUUGACUUUGGGAUAACUUCAGGAAACUGGGGCUAAUACCGGAUAGGAGCUCCUGCUGCAUGGUGGGGGUUGGAAAGUUUCGGCGGUUGGGGAUGGACUCGCGGCUUAUCAGCUUGUUGGUGGGGUAGUGGCUUACCAAGGCUUUGACGGGUAGCCGGCCUGAGAGGGUGACCGGCCACAUUGGGACUGAGAUACGGCCCAGACUCCUACGGGAGGCAGCAGUGGGGAAUAUUGCACAAUGGGCGGAAGCCUGAUGCAGUAACGCCGCGUGCGGGAUGACGGCCUUCGGGUUGUAAACCGCUUUCGCCUGUGACGAAGCGUGAGUGACGGUAAUGGGUAAAGAAGCACCGGCUAACUACGUG